CAUUGGCAGUGAGGAUCAUUCAGUGUCCUUGGAGAUGAAAAAAGACAGUGCUGCAGAAGAGAGAAGCUGACAUUUUCCAGCACCUGCGUGUACCUUCACCCAAGUGACUCCUCAUCCCUUUGGCACGGGGAGCACAGAAACACCCCAAACCAGUUCCUAAAGGAUUUGUGCCUGGAAAAAUUAGAAGAAUGAACCAUCUCACAGCAGGAGUUGAGACCUUUGUCUAGUGCACAGCACCAGUUUUACCCCUACUUCCGUGAAGACUGAAUCAAGCUGUGACAGCCAGCUAAAGAAGAACAAGAAAACAUCACAGAAAAGGAUGACUAUUUCCCACUGAUUUUUCAAAUCAAUCAGUUUCAUACCAGGACAAAACAGAGUUCUUCUGCACAGACCAGAUGUACUUUUCUGUUUACAGAGAUGCAAGUAGUCCAAAAGCCAUCCAUUCUACCUUCAUAGAAAAAAAUGUCCCUGACAGAAUUGAUCCUAUUGCAUUGGUAACUCCAGCAGAGGAUUAACUACAGGAGUCCUCCAAGCACUGCAACUGAAGCAGCCAGCAGCAGCAAAACAAUAAUGUCUUCCUGGUCAGCAACACGAACCACGAGGAGGAUCUUGUUCACUGCUCCUGCAUAAAUGGAAAGCAUAAGGAUCUGGAUGUGAAACACUCAUUCUGUAGCAAAAAGGAAGAGCACCUUGUGCACAUAACAGCAUUUAAGGAAGGUAUUAUGAAAUAAAAAGUCCAACACUCUUAUCUGUGUACACAUCACCACUGUAUUGCAAGAUUGUAUUACUUUCAGGAGGAAGCUGUUUGGAUGAGUAUUCACAGAAUCGUCUAGGUUGGAAGAGACCUCCAAGAUCAUCUAGUCCAACCUCUGCCCUAACACUAACAAGUCCUCCACUAAACCAUAUCACUAAGGGCUACAUCUAAACGUCUUUUAAAGACCUCCAGGGAUGGCGACUCAACCACCUCCCUGGGCAGCCCAUUCCAAUGCCUAACAACCCUUUCGGUAAAGAAGUUCUUCCUAAUAUCCAACCUAAACCUCCCCUGGCGCAACUUUAGCCCAUUCCCCCUCGUCCUGUCACCAGGCACAUGGGAGAAUAGACCAACCCCCACCUCGCUACAGCCUCCUUUAAGGUACCUAUAGAGAG